UUGUCUAUGAACUUGGUCAAACUUAGAGAAGUUUGACUUUUUAAAAAAAUAAUACACCUUAUAUUGAGGAACGGAGGGAGUAUGACCUAACCAAUCUCUCUCUCUCUCUCUUCUCUUGAACUAGCACUAAGGAGCUGACGCUGUUGGUAGCACUGAGAACGGAGGGAACAUUAAGUCAUUCUCCUACAAAACCAGAUGUAUAACCAUUUUUUGUUGUUCGGAUGGUGUCCACGGCGGCCAACUACAGCUGACUUGUGUGCUCUUUUUGUUAAAAUAAAUCUAUUCUUCAGUCCAUGCUAUUGUACGAGACCAUUUUUUGCUGUUCGGAUGGUGUCCACGACGGCCAACUAUAGCUAGCUUGUGUGCUCUUUUUGUUAAAAUAAAAUCCAUUCUUUAGUCCAUGCUAUUGUACGAGUUUGAUGCGGUAGGUUGAAAAGUUAUUGGAUUUCGUUUGGUUCCUUGAGACUGAGAGGCAAUAAUUUUGUUUGAUUAGUUUGUUGAAGCUACGCACACAUAUAUGGCUAAGCCCUAUUUGUUGUUUGUUGUUAUGCAAGCAAAGGAUUUCGUCCGGUAAAACACCCAGCAACACCCAGCAACAGGAGUUUCUAUAAUGUUGAUUGAUUCAGAAACCCAAACAGUAUGGGUGUAGUUCUUGCAAUUAGAAUUUUAGAAUUACUAAUAUCCUUUUGUUCCAGUAUAAUUAUUUUUGCUGAGAACUUCUUCAAGAUGCUCUGCAUCCUCUGUGUGUAAUGCACUUUGUUAUUGGCGAUGACCUGUGGAUGGAUUAUGCCGGUUGAAUAAACAACAUCUUUGCACAAACUAACAUUAGAACAUCCAGAAAUUGAGAAAGCUUCUUCUCUGUUAACAAAAUUGUCUACUCAGGACUAGAAUUGGCGUAGGAUUUUCGGGUGGUUCUGUGAAGUAGCAGGUCUAGCUCACUUGGCCUUAUGCUUUUAAAGAUUGCUGCGUUUCUCGUUGUCCAAAUGCUCCAGCAGCCAAGGGUGAUCUACUCGAUGUAAGAAGGUUUCCGCAGAGAGCCCUUCAGAGCAAUAAUCUAUUUAUUGGCAGAAGACAAAUUGGUUUGAUCAAAGGCAGGGAAUAAAUAUUCAGAAGACAAAUUGCAGACGACAACCCAGCUCAUCAACUCCACUAUGGCUAACAUUAGCAAGGUCUGGUAGCAAGCCAACUACACGCUACUGUAAUUGGGGUGCAGAAGAUGGAGGGGAAUGAUCACCGUUGACAAAAGUGCAUUGAGUGGUUGGCAUCCUAAGUAAUGGGUGUCAACGGCUAAUCUACCAUAUCUGAGUAAUAGCGAGCUCGAGAGUGUGUCUCCUGGAAAGUCAGGCAGGUGUUACCGUUGCCCGGAGCUCAAAUCGGCAAGCCUCUCCGAUUCAGACCUCCUCAUCGCCUUCCACGCCAUUGUCGAUGCAUACACACAGGCGCUUGAGAAGACCUAGCGACGCGACAAUGAUGACACAUCCCCUAGCUAUAGAUGGCGACCGCGGCGUAGAUCCCUUGGCCGGGUUCGAGAGUUGUUGCCCGUCCGAUGGCCAGCGCAUGACAUUCAAGGACUGCUCCACCAUGUGCUGGCUGCUCAACAUGAUCCACAUCACCUUCCAAGAGCGCGACGUGUCCACCCACACGCCCUACUGGGAGAAGCUCCGCGUGCUGCUGCCGGGACAAACGGCUCCAUGUCACUGUCACAGUGGCUGUUCACGGAUGGUAGGUACAUUGUUGGUUUUUUAGACUUGCGGGACUCUGGAAUUAUAGUAGUUAGGACUUGCUUUUCUACUUCAAUUCCCAAUUUAGUUUGUGUUAUGAUAGGUUGUAAUCUCUGAACUCAGCAAUCAAAAGUAUUAGUAGGAAGUACCUGUUGUUUUACAGUGUACAGCUUCUUCACUGACAUUAUUCAGUAGUUGUAUCUUCUUACCAAAUUCAAUGUAAGUUUUUCCUCUCGAUGUGUUAUAAUCUCCACAGUAGGUGCACUGUGAUUUUCCUUCUAAUGCAUAGAAUGGAAAGUUUAGUGUAAGUGUGAUUAUAAGCUGUAUUAGCCACUUUCCCAUGUUAAUAUAGGCAGAAGUAGUUUCUCCCAUAUUUUUAUGGAUAGUGUACCUGUGAUGUAACCUGUGAUUCUAAGCUUUAUUAGUCAUAACAGACUCUGUUUCAUAUGAUUUUAAUCUCUUUUUCCUUUUGGUGUUAGCCAAAGCAUGUUGAUCAGGUGGGGUAUUACUAUUAUCGAGAAGUAGUGAUCUGCAGGACACAAUCAUGUGAAAUUCAGAAGAUUUGAUUCUAGGGAUCUCACCUGGAUUGAUCUGCCAUGCUUCGUUGCAGGUUUAUCAUACAUAUCUCCUUGUAAUUUCCUAUUUUCUAGCUUUGCUCUCCUCUUCUUCUUCUUCCAUCUUUCUUUUCUGUUUUUUUACAUAGAAGAGGUAUGUUUCUUAUUGUUGUACCUUUUCCCAAAGUCUUUGCUUAGAGGGGUUAGGUACAGGUGGUCUAGGACAGGGUAGUUCCACCAUAUGAUAUUGGGCCUUGCUAGAGGGCAUUUAUUUGGGGCUGGUUGUAAAUGAUCUAAAAGUUGUACUGAUAUCCUUGACAUAAGAUUUGAAUAAAAUUAAUUUAGUUUUCGGCCGAUUCUUUUGGCUGUUGAAGCGAGACAUACACUUCUCUUUUCUCAUACAUACAAUUGUUUAUUGUUUUGACAUACAUACAACUGUCAUGAUUUAUUGGUAUAUUAUCUGAAGAUGCCCUAAGUUGGUUUUGCUUGAACUGAAAACCGUAGUUUGUCAAAUCUACAAGACCAUUUGUGAGAUAUUGAACUAUGUGUAGUUUUUUUCCCGUUGCAAUGCACGUGCCCUUUUGCUAGUUCUUACUAAAGCAUAAUUCCUCAUCAACAUGACUCACAUAUUAUAUCAACAUAUCUCAAAACUAUUACAAGGAAUCAAGUUUAUUUU